UUUUAGUGCAACGCUGAACCAUGACAACUCCAAAGAAACACAGUUUGAAAGCCACUUAAGCUACCAAGAAGGAAAAAUUAUUUGUUUUUACUAGUUGAAAAUUAUGUGCGACAGACAAAAUGUGUUUAAAAUGGUGUUUUAAGCAUUAAGCAUUUAAACACACUAACUAAAAAUGUAUAUGUAUGUACAUACGACAUGAAGGAGAAACUUUGUGGAAAGCGAAAUUAAAGGAAAUUAAGCUCUGGCGGAAUUCUAUUAGGAAAAGUAGAAGAAUUUCCAGCGCACACAAAAUUUUGCCGCACCUCCACCAGACUUGAGUUUACCUCCAAUUCGUUUGCCUGAGUUCACGCCCAU